UACGUAGGGACCAAGCGUUGUUCGGAAUUACUGGGCGUAAAGGGCGCGUAGGCGGUCUGGUCAGUCCCUUGUGAAAUCCCCCGGCUCAACUGGGGAACUGCACGGGAAACAGCCGGGCUUGAGUUCGGGAGAGGGAAGCGGAAUUCCGGGUGUAGCGGUGAAAUGCGUAGAUAUCUGGAGGAAUACCGGUGGCGAAGGCGGCAUCCUGGACCGACAUUGACGCUGAGGAGCGAAAGCUAGGGGAGCAAACGGG
rnacentral:rRNA from 1 species